rnacentral:tRNA from 1 species
GGCUUCGUAGCUCAGCUGGUAGAGCAUUUACUCUGUUUAGGCACGUUGUUUCUGUCGCUGGCUCAAAUCCAGCCGAAGUCC